CCUAACACAUGCAAGUCGAACGGGAAGCGGUGCAUAUUGCUUCCGUGAUAAUGUGCCGUGGAAAGUGGCGAACGGGUGCGUAACACGUACGUAACCUGCCCUGAAAGGGGGGAUAACCACGGGAAACUGUGGCUAAUACCGUAUAAUCUCGCCGUGGCGGUGGUUACGGUGAGGAAAGCUGAGGCGAUUUGGGAGGGGCCUGCGGUCGAUUAGCUGGUUGGUGGGGUAAAGGCCCACCCCGGCGAUGAUCGAUAGCUGUUCUGAGAGGAAGACCACCCACACGGGAACUGAAACCCGGUUCCGACUCCUACGGGGGGCAACAGUGAGGAAUAUUGCGCAAUGGGGGGAACCCUGACGCAGCAACGCCGCGUGGAGGACGAAGGUUUUCGGAUUGUAAACUCCUUAACUGGGGGAAGAGAGAGGACGGUACCCCAGGACGAAGACACGGCUAACUAGGUGCCAGCAGCCGCGGUAAUACCUAGGUGUCGAGCGUUAUCCGGAAUUACUGGGCGUAAAGGGUGCGCAGGCGGUGUUACAAGUCCGGCGUGAAAGCUUCUGGCUUAACUGGGAGAGGACGUCGGAAACUGUAGUGCUAGA
rnacentral:rRNA from 1 species